GACGUCGCACACGAUGUUGAGACAGGAUGGUUUCUCAUCGUACAGGACAAACCAGGAUGGUGUUUCAGGGAAAGGCUUCAGGACUGAAGCAAAGAGGACGACGCAGGACGCGUUAAAGGACACCUCCAGGAAGGAGAACGUGAGCCGGACAGGAUGACCGGUGAAUAAGGAUGUUAAGGGAUGCGCUUUACGGAUGAAGUUACAACGCAUCGGGGUGGUGUGUGCAGGACGCAAUAGUUUAGGGAUGAACGGUCAGGAGACCUCAGGAAAAGUUUUCAAGGAUGAGCAGGGAGCACCAAAAGUAGCUGGACUGCUGCGAAACGAACCGGGAGCACUGUUUUUUACAGUGCUCCCUUUUUUUGUU
rnacentral:other from 1 species